rnacentral:rRNA from 1 species
UACAGAGGUCCCAAGCGUUGUUCGGAUUCACUGGGCGUAAAGCGUGCGCAGGCGGUUCUGAAAGUCAGCUGUGAAAGCCCCGGGCUUAACCUGGGAAUUGCGGUUGAAACUACAGGGCUAGAAUCUGGCAGAGGGGGGUGGAAUUCCACGUGUAGCAGUGAAAUGCGUAGAGAUGUGGAGGAACACCGAUGGCGAAGGCAGCCCCCUGGGCUGAGAUUGACGCUCAGGCACGAAAGCGUGGGGAGCAAACAGG